GAUGAUCGCUAGCGAUAGGCUUAACACAUGCAAGUCGAGGGGCAGCACAAGGUAGCUUGCUAUCUGGGUGGCGACCGGCGCACGGGUGCGUAACGCGUAUGCAACUUGCCCUAUACAGGAGGAUAACCCGUCGAAAGACGGACUAAUACUGCGUAUGCUCACAACUUGGCAUCAAGUGGUGAGGAAAGAAAUUCGGUAUAGGAUAGGCAUGCGUCCCAUUAGCUUGUUGGUGAGGUAACGGCUCACCAAGGCAACGAUGGGUAGGGGAACUGAGAGGUUUAUCCCCCACACUGGUACUGAGACACGGACCAGACUCCUACGGGAGGCAGCAGUGAGGAAUAUUGGUCAAUGGGCGCGAGCCUGAACCAGCCAAGUCGCGUGAAGGAUGACUGUCUUAUGGAUUGUAAACUUCUUUUAUACGGGAAUAACAAGAGUCACGUGUGACUCCCUGCAUGUACCGUAUGAAUAAGCAGCGGCUAACUCCGUG
rnacentral:rRNA from 1 species